rnacentral:rRNA from 1 species
GAUGAACGCUGGCGGCGUGCCUAAUACAUGCAAGUCGAGCGAACGGACGAGAAGCUUGCUUCUCUGAUGUUAGCGGCGGACGGGUGAGUAACACGUGGAUAACCUACCUAUAAGACUGGGAUAACUUCGGGAAACCGGAGCUAAUACCGGAUAAUAUUUUGAACCGCAUGGUUCAAAAGUGAAAGACGGUCUUGCUGUCACUUAUAGAUGGAUCCGCGCUGCAUUAGCUAGUUGGUAAGGUAACGGCUUACCAAGGCAACGAUGCAUAGCCGACCUGAGAGGGUGAUCGGCCACACUGGAACUGAGACACGGUCCAGACUCCUACGGGAGGCAGCAGUAGGGAAUCUUCCGCAAUGGGCGAAAGCCUGACGGAGCAACGCCGCGUGAGUGACGAAGGUCUUCGGAUUGUAAAACUCUGUUAUUAGGGAAGAACAUAUGUGUAAGUAACUGUGCACAUCUUGACGGUACCUAAUCAGAAAGCCACGGCUAACUACGUGCCAGCAGCCGCGGUAAUACGUAGGUGGCAAGCGUUAUCCGGAAUUAUUGGGCGUAAAGCGCGCGUAGGCGGUUUUUUAAGUCUGAUGUGAAAGCCCACGGCUCAACCGUGGAGGGUCAUUGGAAACUGGAAAACUUGAGUGCAGAAGAGGAAAGUGGAAUUCCAUGUGUAGCGGUGAAAUGCGCAGAGAUAUGGAGGAACACCAGUGGCGAAGGCGACUUUCUGGUCUGUAACUGACGCUGAUGUGCGAAAGCGUGGGGAUCAAACAGGAUUAGAUACCCUGGUAGUCCAUGCCGUAAACGAUGAGUGCUAAGUGUUAGGGGGUUUCCGCCCCUUAGUGCUGCAGCUAACGCAUUAAGCACUCCGCCUGGGGAGUACGACCGCAAGGUUGAAACUCAAAGGAAUUGACGGGGACCCGCACAAGCGGUGGAGCAUGUGGUUUAAUUCGAAGCAACGCGAAGAACCUUACCAAAUCUUGACAUCCUUUGACAACUCUAGAGAUAGAGCUUUCCCCUUCGGGGGACAAAGUGACAGGUGGUGCAUGGUUGUCGUCAGCUCGUGUCGUGAGAUGUUGGGUUAAGUCCCGCAACGAGCGCAACCCUUAAGCUUAGUUGCCAUCAUUAAGUUGGGCACUCUAAGUUGACUGCCGGUGACAAACCGGAGGAAGGUGGGGAUGACGUCAAAUCAUCAUGCCCCUUAUGAUUUGGGCUACACACGUGCUACAAUGGACAAUACAAAGGGCAGCGAAACCGUGAGGUCAAGCAAAUCCCAUAAAGUUGUUCUCAGUUCGGAUUGUAGUCUGCAACUCGACUACAUGAAGCUGGAAUCGCUAGUAAUCGUAGAUCAGCAUGCUACGGUGAAUACGUUCCCGGGUCU